GUACCGUGAGGGAAAGAUGAAAAGAACUUUGAAAAGAGAGUUAAACAGUACGUGAAAUUGUUGAAAGGGAAACGAUUGAAGUCAGUCAUACCAACGGGAAAUCAACCUUUUGAGCUCGGUCUCGUGGGUUUUGAAGAGUUUCAAAGCCUUCGGAUUCGCGGGAUUGGGAUCUCUUGGCGUACUUUUUCGUACGGUUAGUCAACAUCGGUUUUGAAUGUCAUAAAAUGACUGGAGGAAUGUAGCUUCGAUCUCGUAUUGAAGUGUUAUAGCCUUUGGUAGAUGUGAUGUUUGAGACCGAGGAUUGCAACGGAUACCCUUCAGGGCUAUUCGUCUGAUCUCUGAUACGUUGCCUUGAUGUUAAAAGCUUGCUUAUGAUGUUAGGGUAUUACGGUCAAAAGGUUAGAACGAAUUACAUUCGUUAAGG
rnacentral:rRNA from 1 species